rnacentral:rRNA from 1 species
AUUCCCGCGCGCGGCGGGCGGGGCGGGGGCACGGGGGGACUCCUACGGGAGGCAGCAGUGGGGAAUAUUGCACAAUGGGCGCAAGCCUGAUGCAGCCAUGCCGCGUGUAUGAAGAAGGCCUUCGGGUUGUAAAGUACUUUCAGCGGGGAGGAAGGCGAUAAGGUUAAUAACCUUGUCGAUUGACGUUACCCGCAGAAGAAGCACCGGCUAACUCCGUGCCAGCAGCCGCGGUAAAAUC